rnacentral:rRNA from 1 species
AGUGAACGCUGGCGGUAGGCCUAACACAUGCAAGUCGAACGGCAGCACAGUAAGAGCUUGCUCUUACGGGUGGCGAGUGGCGGACGGGUGAGGAAUACAUCGGAAUCUACUUUUUCGUGGGGAUAACGUAGGGAAACUUACGCUAAUACCGCAUACGACCUACGGGGGAAAGCCGGGGAUCUUCUGACCUUGCGCGAUUGAAUGAGCCGAUGUCGGAUUAGCUAGUUGGCGGGGUAAAGGCCCACCAAGGCGACGAUCCGUAGCUGGGCUGGGAGGAUGAUCAGCCACACUGGAACUGAGACACGGUCCAGACUCCUACGGGAGGCAGCAGUGGGGAAUAUUGGACAAUGGGCGCAAGCCUGAUCCAGCCAUACCGCGUGGGUGAAGAAGGCCUUCGGGUUGUAAAGCCCUUUUGUUGGGAAAGAAAAGCAGCAGGUUAAUACCCCGCUGUUCUGACGGUACCCAAAGAAUAAGCACCGGCUAACUUCGUG